AUAAAUAGGGAUACAUUUUUAGGGUUUUAUGGAUAAAAAAUUAGGGAUAAGGGAUAUAACUUUGGGAUGAAUUUUGGGACAAUAAAUAGGGAUAAAUUUUUAGGAUUUUAUGAAUAAAAACUUAGGAAUAAGGGAUAUAACACUUGGGUCUUUAUAAUUAUCUUUUUAAUUUUUUUUCUCUUAAAUAAAAUAAUAAUUAUACUUUUGCAAAUAAUUAAUUUGGAUAAUUUUAGGAUAAUAUGAGAUAAUUUUAUGGGAUAAAACC
rnacentral:lncRNA from 1 species